GCCGAAGUGGCGGAAUUGGUAGACGCGCGCGACUCAAAAUCGCGUUCCAUUUAUGGAGUGAGGGUUCGAUUCCCUCCUUCGGCACCA
rnacentral:tRNA from 1 species